GUGUCAGCAGCCGCGGUAAUACAGAGGUCCCAAGCGUUGUUCGGAUUCACUGGGCGUAAAGGGUGCGUAGGUGGUCAGGUAAGUCGGAUGUGAAAUCUCCGAGCUCAACUCGGAAACUGCAUUGGAAACUACCUGGCUCGAGGGUUGGAGGGGGGACUGGAAUGCUUGGUGUAGCAGUGAAAUGCGUAGAUAUCAAGCGGAACACCAGUGGCGAAGGCGAGUCCCUGGACAACUCCUGACACUGAUGCACGAAAGCUAGGGGAGCAAACAGGAUUAGAUACCCUGGUAGUCC
rnacentral:rRNA from 1 species